GGGAGCUGUAUAAGCUGAGAGGUUUCCGUACAGUUCUGCGAGAGACUGGUGGGGAAGUUCUGCUGAUCUACUCUCC
rnacentral:ncRNA from 1 species